rnacentral:rRNA from 1 species
UAGGGAAUCUUCCGCAAUGGACGCAAGUCUGACGGAGCAACGCCGCGUGAGUGAAGAAGGUUUUCGGAUCGUAAAACUCUGUUGUUAGAGAGGAACAAGUGCUAGAGUAACUGUUAGCGCCUUGACGGUAUCUAACCAGAAAGCCACGGCUAACUACGUGCCAGCAGCCGCGGUAAUACGUAGGUGGCAAGCGUUGUCCGGAUUUAUCGGGCGUAAAGCGAGCGCAGGCGGUUCCUUAAGUCUGAUGUGAAAGCCCCCGGCUCAACCGGGGAGGGUCAUUGGAAACUGGGGAACUUGAGUGCAGAAGAGGAGAGUGGAAUUCCAUGUGUAGCGGUGAAAUGCGUAGAUAUAUGGAGGAACACCAGUGGCGAAGGCGACUCUCUGGUCUGUAACUGACGCUGAGGCUCGAAAGCGUGGGUAGCAAACAGGAUUAGAUACCCUGGUAGUCCACGCCGUAAACGAUGAGUGCUAAGUGUUGGAGGGUUUCCGCCCUUCAGUGCUGCAGUUAACGCAUUAAGCACUCCGCCUGGGGAGUACGACCGCAAGGUUG